AUACGUAGGGGGCGAGCGUUGUCCGGAAUGAUUGGGCGUAAAGGGCGCGUAGGCGGCCCGGUAAGUCUGGAGUGAAAGUCCUGUUUUUAAGAUGGGAAUUGCUUUGGAUACUGUCGGGCUUGAGUGCAGGAGAGGUAAGUGGAAUUCCCAGUGUAGCGGUGAAAUGUGUAGAGAUUGGGAGGAACACCAGUGGCGAAGGCGACUUACUGGACUGUAACUGACGCUGAGGCGCGAAAGUGUGGGGAGCAAACAGGAUUAGAUACCCUGGUAGUCCACACUGUAAACGAUGAAUGCUAGGUGUAGGGGGUAUCGACCCCUU
rnacentral:rRNA from 1 species